GGCUCGAUGGCGGACGGUCCGCGCCUGCACUGCAUAGCGACAAUUUUGCUGUCUGUAAGCGCGGGAGACGCCCGUUCGACUCGGGCUCGGGCCA